UACGGAGGGAGCUAGCGUUGUUCGGAAUUACUGGGCGUAAAGCGCGCGUAGGCGGCUUUGUAAGUUAGAGGUGAAAGCCCGGGGCUCAACCCCGGAAUUGCCUUUAAGACUGCAUCGCUUGAAUCCGGGAGAGGUGAGUGGAAUUCCGAGUGUAGAGGUGAAAUUCGUAGAUAUUCGGAAGAACACCAGUGGCGAAGGCGGCUCACUGGACCGGCAGUGACGCUGGAGGUGCGAAAGCG
rnacentral:rRNA from 1 species